ACCACAUAUAUGCAUUUCAAAUGAGAAGCGCAGUUGAUGUUCUGGAUGGUGGGUACCAGUGGAGAAAAUAUGGGAAAAAGAUAGUAAAAAACAAUAGUUUUCCAAGGUUGGACAGAUCUUUCAAAAAAUUGAAUGUCGUGAUCAAUCUAAUGGAGGUAUAUAUUAUCCGCAAUGUUGUUCGUUGGUUCCAAAAUUGUUAGAGGAACAAGAAGGUGCUACACUGCUUGUAUCCGCCAAGUUUAAUGUAGUAUCUAUCCGUAU